CGACAGCGGACCGGACCGGACUGAGCUCCAGCGCGCACCGACCUAUUGAUCGGGGACUCCUCCGGAUUCCCUCCGAAGCCGGGGCGACAAGCGACUCAAAGGUGCAACGCCAACCAGAGAUAUUUGUAUCAGGGUGAAAGGGGAAUGAAUCCUUGGAUUGUGGAUGAACAGAGUCAAACACUCUUCGCUUUUUGAAUGGGAGAAUCCGACUACUGGAAGGAAAGGACAACUGUGUUGGACUGUUCUUCCCCAGGGAUUUAAAAAUAGUCCCACUUUGUUCGGUGAAGUACUGGCCAAAGAAUUAGAACAAUGGCGAACUAAUAAUGAUAAUGUUACUCUCUUACAGUAUGUGGACGAUAUCUUAAUUGGAGCAGAUACAGAACAGACUUGUACAGAAGCCACAGUAAGCCUGCUAAACUUUCUGGGAAUAGCCAGAUUCUGCUGGAUAUGGAUCCCCAAUUUCGGACUUACAACCAAGCCCUUAUACGCAGACACAAAGGGCCUUGUGGGGAGUUGUUAGAAGGGACUCCAGAGUGUCGGAGUAGUUUUGAUGAAAUUAAAAAAAACGAUGGAAGCUCUCCUCAAGAAACUACAUGAAGAAACUCACAUGGGAGCCAAUGCUAUGAUAAGCAGUGUUAAGAGAUACGCUGUAGGGAAAAAAUGCAGACAAAUGCAGAUAUAAUAGCAAAGAGAUGAAACUUGUGUAAAUGAUCCCAAAAUACAAAGAAAGCCGCCAGCAGGUGACGUAAAAAGAGGAAUAACCCCUAGGGAAUACUGGCAAAUAGAUUUCUCUGAAUUACCAAAUGUGGACAACAUAAGUAUCUACUUGUUCUAGUGGAUACGUUUUCCGGAUGGCCUGAGACUUUCCCUUGUCGCAACAAUGGGGCUAGGGAAGUAAUUAGGAUAUUACUAAAGGAAAUAACCCCCCAGAUAGCUAGAGUUGGACCAUAUGUCGUUAAAAGGGUUGGACAACAACGACUUUUGUUUAAUCCAUCAUGGUCCCUCAAACGGGUAGAACUAUCAAUGCAGAUUAAUAUCUCUGCAGUUAAACCAGCCUGUUCACCAUUCGUAAGUGCGUCCUAUACAGGAUGGUUAGCGUGGUUACAUGGGCGGUCUCUUACCCUUCCAAAUCGAGUAAAAAGAAAUGUAACUGAUAUCCUAGGGACAGGAUUGGGAGUCUUAAACAGCAUAGAUAUGAAAUACUUGCAAACAAACUCAGUACAGCCACACAUGAUCUAAAAAAACUAGAACAUCCAUUGCAAUCCUCCCUGUCAGCUUUAGGAACUCAUCAAUGGCUGUUGUCUGAUAUAUUGCCUCAAUGGGAAAGGGUUAAUGAAAAGGACCACCAAUUAAUCAUAGAUGUACUUGGUAUAGCCCAAAACAAUAUUUCUCUAGCUCUUAGUUGCAUCCAAGCUCAACUGUGGGUGCAAUAUACAAUAGCAGCAAUUGUAAGAGAAGGUGAAGAUGGCACCUUACCUACUGAAAUUCGGAAAAUAAUCUGGGAAAAGGCAACUGCAUUUGAAAGAGAAUUCCAAUCAUGGUGGUAUCUGGGCAAUUUCACUCACAAUCCUAUCGAUAACAAAGCCACGGCCUUUGUUGUAACCAUACAGAAUGCAUCGGUAAAAACCAUCUACCCGAUCGUUGCGUUAGGCUUAAAUCACAA